ACAGACCCCGUCAGCCAUUCAACUAUUUUCUAGAAAGGAAGCUGGAGGUUGCAAUUAUAUGAUGUAUAUAAAUAAAAAUAGUACACUGAGAUACUGAAGACUGAAAACAAAAUUUAAAACACAUGAGACCUAAAGAACAGGAUUGAAAUUCACCUACAAUUCAACCCUGCAGUGUAACCCUAGUUGACAAUAAGGUUUUCUAAAACUUCAAGUGUUAGAAAAUCGAAAGAAGAUUCAGAACAUAUUUUUUGUGACUGUCUCUUGCCCUUACUUCUUAUUCUGCAUAGACAUUCAGACUGUGCCUGCAUUUAUAAUAUGUGUGAGAAUGUCCAAAUAAUUCAGACCCUUCCUCAGAAGACAUUGACACAUCACUCAGGUGGCUAUCCUAGGAGUUUGAUAUGGUUCCACCUCAUCUCAGCAGAGAGCUGGCCCAGAAGUUGUGAUAUAUAUGAAGAUGCACCAGCCUCUAUGUGACCAAAAGGAAAAGGCAAAAGAAUCACAGACCCUGGCCUACACUACACCAACCAAGCUCAGCAGUCACC
rnacentral:lncRNA from 1 species